UGGGGAAUCUUGCGCAAUGGGGGAAACCCUGACGCAGCGACGCCGCGUUCGGGAUGAAGGCCUUCGGGUUGUAAACCGCUUUCAGCAGGGACGAGGCCUUAUGGUGACGGUACCUGCAGAAGAAGCUCCGGCUAAAUACGUGCCAGCAGCCGCGGUAAUACGUAUGGAGCAAGCUUUAUCCGGAUUCAUUGGGCGUAAAGCGCUCGUAGGCGGUCUGUUAGGUCGGCAAGUUAAAUCCGGGGGCUCAACCCCCGUCCGCUUCCGAUACCGGCAGACUUGAGUUUGGUAGGGGAAGGUGGAAUUCCUAGUGUAGCGGUGGAAUGCGCAGAUAUUAGGAAGAACACCGGUGGCGAAGGCGGCCUUCUGGGCCAUAACUGACGCUGAGGAGCGAAAGCUAGGGGAGCGAACAGG
rnacentral:rRNA from 1 species